rnacentral:rRNA from 1 species
UAAGGCGAGGCAGAAAUGCGUAGUCGAUGGGAAACGGGUUAAUAUUCCCGUACUGGUGAUAAUUGCGAUGGGGGGACGGAGAAGGCUAGGCUAUCCGGGCGACGGUUGUCCUGGUUUAAGGAUGUAGGCAGGUGAAUUAGGCAAAUCCGGUUCACUACAUGCUGAGGUCCGACGACGAGUCACUACGGUGAUGAAGUAGCUCAUGCCCCGCUUCCAGGAAAAGCCUCUAAGCUCUAGAUUAUCAUUAAUCGUACCCCAAACCGACACAG